GACGAACGCUGGCGGCGUGCUUAACACAUGCAAGUCGAACGGUGAAGCGCCUUCCUUUUUGGUGGGUGUGGAUGAGUGGCGAACGGGUGAGUAACACGUGAGUAACCUGCCCCCUUCUUCUGGAUAACCGCAUGAAAGUGUGGCUAAUACGGGAUAUUCUGGGUCUGUCGCAUGAUGGGUCUGGGAAAGAUAUUGUUUCGGUGGGGGAUGGGCUCGCGGCCUAUCAGCUUGUUGGUGGGGUGAUGGCCUACCAAGGCGGUGACGGGUAGCCGGCCUGAGAGGGUGGACGGUCACACUGGGACUGAGACACGGCCCAGACUCCUACGGGAGGCAGCAGUGGGGAAUAUUGCACAAUGGGCGCAAGCCUGAUGCAGCGACGCCGCGUGAGGGAUGGAGGCCUUCGGGUUGUAAACCUCUUUCGCCAGUGAAGCAGGCCUGCCUCGUUUGUGGGUGGGUUGACGGUAGCUGGAGAAGAAGCGCCGGCUAACUACGUG
rnacentral:rRNA from 1 species